AACGCACAUUGCGCCCCUUGGUAUUCCGGGGGGCAUGCCUGUUCGAGCGUCAUUGCAACCCUCAAGCCUGGCUUGGUAUUGGGCUUCGCCACUAACCUGGCGGGCCUUAAAAUCAGUGGCGGUGCCUCCGAGGCCCUGAGCGCAGUAAAUAUCCUCGCUAUAGGGACCCGGUGGUUACUGGCCAGCAACCCCAACUUUCUAAGUUUGACCUCGGAUCAGGUAGGGAUACCCGCUGAACUUAA
rnacentral:misc_RNA from 1 species